GGAUGUGAGGACGAUCUGGCUGUGACAUCUGUCACCCCAUUGAUUGCCGGGGUUGAUUUGGCUGCUCUGGCUGGCGAGGCGGGUGUCCCCUUCCUCCCUCACCCGCUCCAUGUGCAUCCCUCCCACAGCUGGGAGCUUGGUUGAGGAGGAUGACCUUCCCCACAGAGGAGGACUGUUCUUUAGUCAAGGGUAUAUGAGUAGCUGAGCUCUCCUGCUAGAACUUCCAAACAAGCUCUCAAGUGAGGUAGUCAGUGGAGAAAUAAUCAAAGAAAUAGGGCCAUUUAGCAUCUACAACUACCCAAAUGGCUUUAAACAAGUUCUUUAGCCUUUCUGU
rnacentral:snRNA from 1 species